AUGUUAUCGAAUAUCUAUUGGAGGGCAAGUCUGGUGCCAGCAGCCGCGGUAACUCCAGCUCGAAGAGCGUCUGUUAAUGUUGCUGCGCUUGAAACGCUCGUCGUUGAAUCUCUGGCAAUUGCCUACGGACACCUUUAUGGUGAUACCGUAGGAAAGUGCCUGUUUGUAUCUAUUCGUCGUUGAUGCACUUAAUCGUGUGUCACGUUCGAGAGCCACUUUCACUUUGGAGAAAUCAGUGUGCUCAUCACAGGCUUAUGCCUGCAUAUAACUGCAUGGGAUGAUGAAAUUGGGCCUUUGACUCGUUUCGUUGGUUUUCGAUUGCAGAGGCCAUGAUUAAUCGGGACAGACGGGGGCAUUCGUACUGCGUCGAUAGAAGUGAAAUUCGGUGACCGCCGUAAGACGAACAAUCGCGGAAAGCAUUUGCCAAGAAUGUUUUCAUUAAUCAAGAACGAAAGUUAGAGUAUCGAAGACGAUUAGAUACCGUCCUAGUUCUAACUGUAAACGAUGCCAACCAGGGUUUCGUCACAGCUAGCAUGCUUGACGAGCACCCUCCGGGAAACCUGAGUAAUCGGGUUCCGGGGGGAGUAUGGUUGCAGAAUCGAAACUUAAAGGAAUUGACGGAAGGGCAC
rnacentral:rRNA from 1 species